GGUGGCUGCUUCCCACGCGCCCAGCGUGCGCAUCGUCACAGGGUGGGGGUAGGAGACCAGCACACGUUUCUCCUGGCAAAACUAGAGCUGUAAGAGCCAAGCCCUGGUUUUGACUGCAGCUCGACCCCGCUGCAGCGCUGGUUGCUCAGAAGAUGGGCAGACGUCUGGAGCAUCUGCAGGUGCUUUGUGCCGUUGCCGAGUGCCCCCACCAGCGUGGUAUCAGCACCAAGCUCUGCCUUCUCUUGCUGCUCAGAACAGCGUUUCUGUCAGCCCAGCUGCCUAGAAGAGCAAAAGGAAAAACAAGGGUUGCAGGUCAAYGUUUCUCGCUGUGAAGUUUAACAGUAAGAAGUUCAGAAGUUCAGCAGAAUUUACUACUUUUUUUACAAGGCCUUUAAGCUGUCUUGAUAGCAACCACAUUACAGAUCUGYCUAAUGUGCCAGGUCCCUUGCUGGAGCUCCCCCGUAUCAGCACUGCUUGCCCAAGGCCCAGGGGCAAAGAGGCUGAGCUUAACCUAGGGGUGUUGAGCUGGAGAAAGGAAAGCGCUGGGAGCUCUGCCUUGCRCCAGCUCCCUGGUGCCUGCAGGGCAUCCGCGUCACCAGCGGCCUCGGCGUUGCUCUCCAGCGGUGCUGAAGACUCGGUGGAUGGAGACUGUCCCAGCCACGGCGAGGAAACGGGAAAGGGCAACGCUUUGCUCGUCAGCUCUCCCACCUAGAGGGCCCGGAGCGCCCCCGCUGCAGCCAGCCUGACAGUCAGGCUUCUCAGCAACUGCUUUCCAGAAGGGAAUCUGAGUUUCUUGGCGGGACCAAGGAAAUAACGUUGCGGCAGAGAUAUGAUGCUGGGCAUGGUCUGCCUGAAGAACUGGUCUCUCUGUGUGGUUUUCAUCUGAACACACAGCUUCCUCUUGCUCGAGACAGCCGCUUUCGGCAGAGAUGGGGGAGGACUGUACGAGCACUGAUGCUGGAUGGCCCUGGGCUUCUAAUGUUUCUUCAUGAAAGGUUCCAGUCUUACCCUUGACCUUUUUUAAGAGAUUUGAACUCUGAUAUUUGAAUAUUUUUAGCUGGGGAUUCUGUUACAGCCUCUGAGUACCUGGGUCUGCUGGGAGGCAGCGACGCGGCUUUGGCUGCGCUAGGCGCAAGCAAACCAGGCUGCAAACGCUGCUAAAGCCCUAGUGUGCUGCCCAGGAACGUGUCAGCAAGAUGCUCCCGCAAAUGUCACGGGUUUGCGGUCCUUAAAUGUGACAGCGUUUUGCAGUUGUUUCCUAAAAGCAAACUGUGCCUGCGGAAGGAGCUGUGGUUCACCCGGUGUGUGCCGCUUGCUGCGCUAAGGCAGCGGGAGCGCUCCGUGCCCGGCGUCCCGCUAUAAAUCCCCGCCUCGGCUGCAUUCGCUUGCUGUUCUGCCCAGGACCGAGCGUGGCCACUGCCGCAGGGAGCGGGGCUGGAGGCCGGGGCAGGAGCUGUGCCCGGGGCCGAGCAGCUCCGCAGAGGCACGGGCUGCUCUCCGUGCCCUCUCUCGGCUUCUGGAGCCUGAACGUGGCGGGACGUGAUCCUCGACCCUGGGGAGCUGCCCCUCGUGCGGGAUCGGSAUGUUUAAAUCUGGAUUCUGCUGGGGCAGCCCUGCUUUUCCUCRCGCACUUUCCCUGCGGCGGCUGCUCCGAAGCCUCUUCCCGGCGAGCUCAGGGURGCGCCGCUGGUGCAGGCCCUUUCCAUCCCAUGGAGCGGCUGCUCAUUAACACGGAGCAAGCCCCUGGCCCGGAGCAAGGCAGGCUGCUGGCGGAGCCUGCUGCGAACAGCACCUAGACCCCCUAACGAAGCAGCAGACCCCCAAAAGCUGCAGGUUGCCCUCCCCAACCCCAGGGCAGGGCCGUUGCCCCUGCCAGCUUGGAGGAGGGACCAUGGGUGCUCCUUCCUGCUGCUGCAGUCCGGGUUCCCUCUGGCUCUCCUGGUGGAGCUUCCCUCUUGCAGAACACUGCAGCYGCAGAGGGGCAGCCUUGGGAGGCCGAGAAGCCCUCUGGGAUGAAAGGCUGGGAGCAGAGG